CAGAAUGAUUUUAUUAGCCAAACUACGCUACUUAUAUUUCUAUUUACAUAUUUACAAUUAGAUAAUAUCAGAUAUAGUUAGGUGAUAGUUUCGACCAAUAGCGGCGCGCCGGCGUGCGCGGGGCGCGCGGGGUGCGGGGCGCCGCUUUGCACACGGCACUAUCGGUUCCUUCCGUAUAAGUAUGACCGCGCGGCGCGAGCGCGCGCAUUUCUCCGAGCGCCGGCGUCGAGUGAAGACUGAAGAUUACCUACAGAUGAACAAUGAAGAUAGGUACGACGAAUGCAAGUGCUCCGGCUCCGGCUCCGCUUGCGCUGCUUGCUUAACCAAACCGCUUCUUUCGAAGCGAUCGCUCGCGGCACGGUGUGAUAACGCUGUUGCCGCAGUGAUUAUUAUCGUUUCUAUGCGAGAGAGUCGUAAACUGUCUUUUUCAAGACAAUUGGUUUCUUGUUUCUAAAAACGGAGUCAAAACGUAAACUGUCUUUCUCAAGACAAUUUGUUUCUUGUUUCUAAAACGAAUUAAGUCUAAAACUUUGGUAAAGGUAUUGUGGAAGGUAUAUGGUAAGGUAUUCGGUGGUACUGGUAACUGGUAGGUAUGUAGUCGUGCGGUGCGGCUA